GAGACACCUGCUCAGCCAGCGACAGAGGAUGAGACUCACACAGCCAGAGCUUGGCCUUGAACCUGAGAAUACAAGGAAAACAAGAAGGUACCUCAGGCCCCCCUGCCCCAGGACACUCCUUGGUCUCUACCUAGACCAGAAAUAUCUGUAUGGCUCACACACUACCAUUCCUACAGGAACUAGGCGUGAAGGCAGUACCUUGGCUUCGUACCCAUUCACCACCUCCGUUUUCUCACUGCGCCAGCCAAGAAUACCCGUCUUGUUCCUGCAGAGAGAGGCAGAUGCAUUAACAUGGGGCUGAAGACCUGCAGACAGAGGUGAAAUUCCCUACCAGAUUAAUGCAUCACUCAACUUCAUCUUCACAUUUAAGGAGGCUGUGUCUAAAACUGGAACUAGUUGACUUGAUGCCUUGCUGUCCAUGCCAUCUCAGAAUGGACCAUUGAGAUAAAGAUUUCUGUAACUGAGGCAACAAAAUGUGCAGAAAUUCCCAUGGUAUCAACAGCUCACUGCUAGAUAGGUUUUUUAAAUGGAUUUUUAUUUUUCAUAUCUUUUAUGCUAAAUAACAUAGGAUGUUUGUAGAUACUAGUACAAUUAAUGUACAAAAAGAACACUAAUAUUGGAUAUUU